UAGAGGAAAUUGCAACUUUUGGCCCAAAGGUUUGAAUAAUUAAAUUCAAACCUAUAGUUUUUUUUAAUAUAAUUUUGGGACUCACAAUCCCAUUUUUAUAUUAUUUUUCUCUCUUCCUCUCACGUUGCUCGGCGUUUUCUCGCAAGGGGGGAUUAUUUUCUUUUUCUUCAGAUUAUAUUGACAAAGAUAGUGGUGAAAAAGGAGUUGUGAAGGGGAACUUGUUAUUCAAGACACAAGGAGCGAGUCCGGCCGAGAAAGCACCAGAGGUGUAACUGUGGUGUAUGAGACACCAUCUUUUACGUUGCCUCUUAUUUUAGAUUAUACAAUGUAUCUUGUGCCA